ensembl:processed_transcript Gm13723 predicted gene 13723
CAAAAGCAUACACUGUUGUCCUGAUAUUUAUACUCACUCAUGGAAUAAAUUCAAACCAUAAAUUUCCUUUAAAAUUAUUUUUGACAAAGACCUGAGGAAAGAAUAAUUUAAUUUUCUCCUGAUUUUUUUUUAAAAUGAGUACACAAAAGAAUGAAAAAAAUAAUACCAAGGAAAACAAAAGAUCGAGGUCUGAUGUGUUCAGAUCUUUAAGUAAAUUUUUUACUUUAAUUGUGAGAAAAUUUGGAAGUUGAAUGUUUUGUGACCCAUGAUAUUAGAAAUAUUUCCCUGUUUUUUCUGUCAACUUUGGAAUUGUGUGGUCAUUGACUAUGUACACCUGGAAUCACACAAAUAUGCCAGACUUUAUCCUCAUGGGAUUGACAGACUCCAAAGAAAUACAGCUGAUCCUCUCUGUACUGUUUCUCCUGAUAUACCUAGUCACUGUUCUGGGGAACAUAGGCAUGAUAUUGAUCAUCUAUAUAGAUACUCAGCUUCACACUCCAAUGUAUUUUUUCCUUACCCAUCUGUCAGUAGUUGACCUCAGUUAUUCAACUGCCAUCACACCGA